AUACGUAGGGUGCAAGCGUUAAUCGGAAUUACUGGGCGUAAAGCGUGCGCAGGCGGUUUUGUAAGAAAGAGGUGAAAUCCCCGGGCUCAACCUGGGAAAUGCCUUUGUGUCUGCAAGGCUAGAGUUCGGCAGAGGGGGAUGGAAUUCCGCGUGUAGCAGUGAAAUGCGUAAAUAUGCGGAGGAACACCAAUGGCGAAAGCAACUCCCUGGGCCUGUACUGACGCACAUGCCCCACAGCCGAGGGAGCAAACAGUAUUAGAUACCCUGGUUGUCCACGCCCUAAUCUAUAUCAACUGAUUGUUGGGUCCUCAUUGACUCCGAUGCGUAGCUAAAGCGUGAAGUUGACCGCCCGGGGAGUACGGCCGCAAGGCUGAAACUCAAAUGAAUUCACGGUG
rnacentral:rRNA from 1 species